rnacentral:misc_RNA from 1 species
GAUGAAGAACGCAGCGAAAUGCGAUACGUAAUGUGAAUUGCAGAAUUCAGUGAAUCAUCGAAUCUUUGAACGCAUAUUGCGCUCUCUGGUAUUCCGGAGAGCAUGCUUGUUUGAGUAUCAGUAAACACCUCAACUUCCAUAUCUUUUUUGAAAUGGGAGUUGGACUUGAGUGAUCCCAACGCUUUUCCUCACCGAAAAGUGGCGGGUUACUUGAAAUGCAGGUGCAGCUGGACUUUUCUCUGAGCUAUAAGCAUAUCUAUUUAGUCUGCCUAAAAAACAGAUUAUUACCUUUACUGCAGCUAACAUAAAGGAGAUUAGUUCUUGUGCUGACUGAUGCAGGAUUCACAAAGACGGCUUCGGCCGACUUUGUAAACUCGAUCUCAAAUCAAGUAAGACUACCCGCUGAACUUAAGCAUAUCAAUAAGCGGAGGA